AGAGUUUGAUUAUGGCUCAGAUUGAACGCUGGCGGCAUGCUUUACACAUGCAAGUCGAACGGUAACAGGCCGCAAGGUGCUGACGAGUGGCGAACGGGUGAGUAAUGCAUCGGAACGUGCCCAGUCGUGGGGGAUAACGCAGCGAAAGCNNNNNUAAUACCGCAUACGAUCUAUGGAUGAAAGCGGGGGACCGUAAGGCCUCGCGCGAUUGGAGCGGCCGAUGUCAGAUUAGGUAGUUGGUGGGGUAAAGGCUCACCAAGCCAACGAUCUGUAGCUGGUCUGAGAGGACGACCAGCCACACUGGGACUGAGACACGGCCCAGACUCCUACGGGAGGCAGCAGUGGGGAAUUUUGGACAAUGGGCGCAAGCCUGAUCCAGCAAUGCCGCGUGCAGGAAGAAGGCCUUCGGGUUGUAAACUGCUUUUGUACGGAACGAAAAGGCUCUGGUUAAUACCUGGGGCACAUGACGGUACCGUAAGAAUAAGCACCGGCUAACUACGUGCCAGCAGCCGCGGUAAUACGUAGGGUGCAAGCGUUAAUCGGAAUUACUGGGCGUAAAGCGUGCGCAGGCGGUUUCGUAAGACAGGCGUGAAAUCCCCGGGCUUAACCUGGGAAUUGCGUUUGUGACUGCAAGGCUGGAGUGCGGCAGAGGGGGAUGGAAUUCCGCGUGUAGCAGUGAAAUGCGUAGAUAUGCGGAGGAACACCGAUGGCGAAG
rnacentral:rRNA from 1 species